UUAUUCAUUUUUAAACAAAAACAGAAAACCAGAUUGAAAAAUAUCUUGUGAUUUUCGAGAAAUUAACAAAAAACCAAAACAACUUUUUUCUAAAAAAACCUCUUUAUUUUUGUUUUUACAUGGCUGGACUUAUUAAUAAAUUAAUUUAUAAAACAUUAACCAUUCGUCAACUAUUUUUUAAACAUUCAGACUUAAGUAAGGAUACAUUAAAUUGAUACCGUAUUCGAUUAACCCUGAAUUGAUCACUUUUUUUCAUUGAUAACACCUGAAAACUUACCUGAGAAUUUUUGUUACUAUGUCUGGGGUGAUCGCCGCCCAUGGAUUCUAGCUUUAAGUGCUUUCAGACAAUAAAAUCGCAAUUUCUUCAUGGAAAUUGAAUAACAAAUAAUAAUGUACAUCCAAAAGAUUAAUCGAGGACAAGAAAUGGCAAAUACGAAGGAAAAGAACUCAAAUGUUAUCUAGGAAAAAAUGAUUCUCUUGAAACGUUUAAAAAUCAAAGAAUAUGAUUUAAAAAGUCCUUUUUUUAGUUUGAACUGCUUGGGCAAGUACUAUUUCAUUUUUUUUUCAUUAAAAUAAAACAAUUAUACUGCCUUAAGACCCUUACAGCUAGAGUCCAUGGGCAGCGAGUACCCCAGCCAUAGUAAGAAAAAUGCUCAGGUAAGUUUUCAGGUGUUAUCAAUGAAAAAAGUUGAUCAAUUCAGGGUUAAUCCAAUACGGUAUCACUUUAAUGUAUCCUUACUUAAGUCUGAAUGUUUAAAAAAUAGUUGACGAAUGGUUAAUGUUUUAUAAAUUAAUUUAUUAAUAAGUCCAGCCAUGUAAAAACAAAUAUAAAGAGGUUUUUUAGAAAAAAGUUGUUUUGUUUUUUUGUUAAUUUUUCGAAAAUCACAAGAUAUUUUUCAAUCUGGUUUUCUGUUUUUGUUUAAAAACGAAUAAAAGCAUCGAAUUUUAAAAACUAAAUUAGUACUUAAUUACAUGAAAUUUUGAAAAAAAUUACUUUGAAAUUUUUUUUUUUUCAAUUUUUUUUUCAAAAUUUUGAUUUUAAAAAUUAAUUUUUCAAAAACUGUGCCAUUAAAUUUCUUUGUUUAAAAUGUUUGUAAAAGACUAGGGUUUUGGCUUUACAAAAAGGUGUAGCACGUUAUUGUAAGUAUAACCGUUGAUUUUUAAUAAUUUUUUUUCCAAAAUAAGUCAAUUUUUUCUUAAAUUGCCCCUCCCCGCUAAACGAGGGGGAAUAGACCCCCCCUCCCAUACGAUUUUUUUCUUGUCUCGAACUAACCUACACGCUCUAGCUUUUUGGCACAUUACUCCUGAAUCACCCUGUAUAUGUAGAUUUACAUAUACAUAAGAUAAACGUAGCUGCGACGAAUAUGCUACAGAUCGGCUAGUACAAUGGCAAAUAUAGUCAGACGGGGAAACACCAAAGUUAUUCAUGCCUAUUACCGAAGACGCAGAUGCACUGCGGCGGGAGUGAGAGUCACUUUUACAAGAUUUCGUAUUACCGAAGCCGCCGGUGCGGAAGUGAUAGAAUGACAUGACAUGACAGUGUAAACAUAUCACACAUGUCGGUAACAGUUUAGUGUAAUUUCGUGGAUCGAUAAUACAGAUCAUCCCGUUGAGUUCACAGAUUGAAAUUUGAUUCGGUUGCGGAUCGAGUAGAUUCCAUGGGAGUGAGUCACUGCGUCUUCUGUAAUAGGCAUGAUAAAGAAAGUUUAGUUGUUGAUUCAAUUUUCACCUCACUAUCAUUUUGGUCUUUCUGAUGUUAACGUUACCAUUGCGAGUUCGUGCUGAAAAGAGCAAACCGUCUCUGCGUAGUUGAAGAGCAUUUCUUAAUAAGAAGGUGUUCUCUUGAGUUAAGUACUCAUUCAAUGUAGAUUCGAGUCGAAUUUGGGUAAGAUCAGAAGGUUGCAUUCGUUCCACUGUCAAGCAAUGCACUUUGCUCCCUAUGGGAAAAGAGUCAAGCAAUGGACAGUUACCGUUUGUGGAUUUAGUUUUCAGUCGAAAGGCGUCGACUGAUGGAGUUUAGAAGCAAUAGCCAUUGCCACCUCAGUUGGUCGUUCAUCAGGUUUCAUAGGUAUACCACGCACAAUCACGCCACGAAGCCGCUGUUUACGAUGCAGAUUUGCAAGUUUUUCUUUAAGCUUCUGAUUGUCAUCUUUCAACUCACAAGUCACAAAUGUCAUUCUCAGAUUGUUGCACUUUUAUUUCAUGAGCAAAUCUAGAGCCACUUAGUUUUUUAUUAAAAUUACUUUCAAAUUCAGAAAGUAAAGAUUUAAAUUUUUCAACUAAACUGGGCUCAAGAUCACAAAGACGUUCAGACAGAGAAGGUUUUUAAUCUAAAUCGUUUUUUGUUUGCUGGGUUUAUCUUCAGACAGAGAAGGUUUUUAAUCUAAAUCGUUUUUUGUUUGCUGGGUUUAUCUUCAGACAGAGAAGGUUUUUAAUCUAAAUCUAAGUUUUCUACUUGGUGCUGGUGAUGACACAAUUUUAGAAUUCAAAGGAGAUCAGAGAUGGCAAAAAUGCGAUUUUUUUUUAUUUUCUACAUUUGUUACGUCUACUACAUAAAUGAGGUAGUAAACGUAGUUUAAUGUAGUUAACGUAGUUAAAUGUAACAGACGUAGCGCUAGACGUCAAAAUGUAGUUUGAAAUGCCAAUUUUACCACCAAAUUGUCAAAGUGUUAUUCAAAUCGAAAAACAUAGCUGUGAUAGUGUGAAUUUGAAUAGAAUAUUUGAAACCAGAUUGACUUGGGAUGGUUUCUGUGAAAAGGUUUUACUUUACUAAACCUAAUUCUCAAGAAAACACAGCAGUUGCCGUCCACUAUUUUUCGCUGGUUAAUAUUUUUUUUUUUUAAUAUUUUUGAAAUUUAACUUUUUUUUUUUGUUAUUACACGGAGCAAAUGUAGGUAGUAAAUGAAACAAAUCAAGCGAGUAGUUUAUUCGAUUAACUACGCGUAGUUAACCGAGUAGAUUACCUGACGUAAUCUACUCUGCCAUCUCUGAAGGAGAUGCAAUUGAAGAUUUCUCUUUAAUCUGUGAUGUUUAUUGACGUGUAGUAGCAUGUGACAUGACGAAACAAUGAAAGAAUUUUCACAAAAUAAAGUAAAAAGUUUUAAUGUCACUUAUUUGAGGGAGGAAAAAUGCACUCCAGAUUAAUAAAAUAAGGUUCAUAAAUGGAAAACUUUGAUUAGAAUUACAAUUUAACUGAGACUGGAUAUUAAAUAUUUGAAUAAUCGGGAGCUAGUUACAAGCACGUCUUUUUCACUUGACAUUUAUUGUCUCUCUUAGUUCAUUUAUUUAGUUCAAUUUAGUUCGCGAAGAAGAUUUUUUCAACAAAAUAAACAGCAACCUAGAGCAGUCAUAAAAUGCCAUGACAAAACAACUUGCGAUCAUUUUACACCAUCGUUUUUUGAUAUACAUUCUUUGGUGAAAGGAAGUCCCAUCUGUAUGUAGGGAAUCCGAAAGCACCCUUUUCAUUUGCAUUAUUUGGAAAAUAAUCUUACUGAAAGAAACUUAGUAUAACAUAACAAUUUUAUAGGCGCAAGCCCAUUGUAAAAGAUUCAAUCGAAUAAAUAAAUGAAAUGAAAUGAAAAUUUCUUCUUUAAGUUUUAAUUUCUUAGAGGGGGCAGGGGUUGUAAUAAUUUCUAAUAAUUUUAACUAUAAACGUGAUAAGUUUCCGCCCGCGUAUAUUUUUCGACCUUUUUCUGUCACACGGUGUAAUUUUCUUCUAUUUAUUUUCUUGUAGGUACAUAUUAUUUACAUGUAAGAAUUAAAAUAUAACUCAAUUGUUCACUUUGUGAUAACUGAUAAUGAAA